ACUUUUGUAGUAUAAUUAAUACAUUGAUAUUAAAAAUCAUAAAAGAGAUUUAUUCUCCUAAAGUA
rnacentral:tRNA from 1 species